AGAAUAAUUGGCGUCAUGGCGACAACAAAAAAAAUAAACAAUAUAUCUACAGAAACAGGCAAGUGAACUGUUGUGAGGAGCUUCAGAAAAGACCUUUGACCCAUGUCACAGUUUAAAGUAGCUUCCGCUCGUCAGGAUCAGGAAGAUCUGCGGGUAGUAGACUGACAGCAGUACACUGCGCGACGAGAUGAUGAUCAUGAUGACAUUGAGCGAAUGGCCACGCUCGGACAGGAGUGAGACGACGCCGAUACAAAGUCUACUUUCUUUUAAUUAUUUUUCCCGCUGGUUGCAGACAGCGGGGAGAAACCCUGAAACACGUGGCCUCCGUUUCUGCUCAAGAAGAUCGAGUCGCACUGUUCGUUUUUUCCAGCCUCGUCUGACCUUUGACCUCGAUUAAAGCAAGACCUGAUUGGACUUCAGCUGAUUUCGGGGCUUUCAUCUCUGUUUUAUGUGUUGAGGAAAAUGUCAGCCAUUUACAUCAUGAGUUUUUAUUAUUUAGUAAAAAAACAAUUGGCUGUCAGAAACCAUGGCUAAGAUUGGCUUACUCUUCAAAACGAACACAGGUAAAAAAAAAAAAUUAGCUUGCAUACAGAAUGUAAGCUAACAUGUUCGUACGGAGAUUUAUUCAUAUUUAGGCUACAGAGAUUGUGUUCAUUUUUAUUGUUUGAAAUUCUGUACCUUUUCGUUGUGCUAUUUCUGCCUUUUGGUUCAGUAUUUUGACUUUCUGGUCGUAGUUUGUUGUUUUUGUCGUCUGAGCGAAUGCAGUAUGUGCAAGGGAUACUCUAACUUGAACAAAAAUACCUUCUGAGUGUUUGUUUGUAUUUACAUGCACUUUGUUAAGCUGCAAAGGCAAAACAGAGAGCCGAGCUCGAGUACAGAGCAGGUGAAGCAAGACUUUGUCAAAGUCGAGCGCUCAUUAAGCGAGCGUGUGAGGUUUAAACGCGCGCAUAGCAAAUUGUUGUUGCUUCACAUAGAAAUAUGCUCUUAUGUCAGUCUCACUGCGUGCUCAGGUUAGAAACGCUGGUUGCAGUUUUUCAGCAAAACUACAGGAAAGGUCAGGGUUAUGUAGUGUGGGUUGCAACACCCACACCCAGGAUCACAACCGGUACCAGAAGGCUGUCGGCUAAGAGGUGGAGUCGCUAGCUGCGUCACAACAACAGCUACUUUACAGUAAACCGAGCCGCCAUUUGUAAAAUCUUACAACAGCGGAGUCUGAGAGAAUGCCACAAACUGAGCAGAGUGUUCAACAAAGCUUCCACUUUGUCCUCCGUUGUUGUGCUGCAUGCGGAUCCCGUCGAGCUAAUUUUCGUACGCUGGGGCCGCCCAACAUGGCAGCCCCACCCACCGGCGCUGUCACCCGUUUGUAACGGAGAGCAGAGUAGAGUUGAGCCCGGUCCAACCCUCUGCCAGGCGCUAGUGGAAAAGGGCCAAAUGUGACAAGCUAGCUAAUUCACCGCUUCUUCAAAUAGGUUACAUGGUUUUCCACCAUUUUAAAAAGAAACAAACAUAAAAAUAGUUUCAGACAAAAGCAUGAGAUGCUAGCGAAGUAGUAGCAAACUCUCUUUUCUGACAAGGUGGCGAGUCAUGGCCGGAUCUACAAUUAGUAUGCAGUGAUUACCUUAGGGAUUAGAAGCUCAGCUUGCUAGCAAGUUUCAGUUUAGCAUUCAGGCUAUUGCUAAGCUACCUAAAGCUGGAUACAAACUGAUACUAUUUAUUUUAGCAAAGCAGCAUGUGAAGCUUUGACAGCCACAGUUAAGCUGUUCAUUGCCAAAAACUUCCUAGAGUUAGGAAGCUAGCAAAGCUAACUUUAGCAUUAGCACUGCUGCUAAACUAGCUAAAGUAGGUUACAAAGUUUCCGAUGGGUCUUUACUUGAAUUGAUACUGCGUUGGACAUUACAAUGGAAGGGAAGAAUGGCUGACUGGACUGAACAAACAUGUUCAUGAAAUUAUUUUCAAAAUGAGGCAAUAUUGUUAUAAUUUAACCAUUAAUGUGCAUUACAUUUACAAACCAACACACUUGAGUGAAUCCAUAUGUAUAAUUCCCUCCAAAUUCCCUUUUUACAGUGUAAAGUCUUAAUACUUGUCCUAAAAAAAAGACAAAGCAUCAACAAUCUGUCUGCCUGCUUCUUAUUCCUUGAAUUAGAUUUUCAUUUAUCCUGAAGAUGACGGCUAUGAUUUUACGACACAGUUUUAAUCCGAAAAAGGACUCCGUCCAUAUUUCAGCUGAUAUAUCUAUACAAAUAAGAGGAAUCUACUGCAUAACACUAUGAGUGCCCAGUGGAAUCAGAGCAAGGAAAUAAAACACUGAAGAUUU